AGGGUUCGAUUAUGGCUCAGGAUGAACGCUGGCGGCGUGCUUAACACAUGCAAGUCGAACGAGAGAUCCGGACGGAAGUUUUCGGACGGAAGUGCGGAUUUCGAGUGGCGGACGGGUGAGUAACGCGUGGGGAACCUGCCUCAUACAGGGGGAUACCAGCCGGAAACGGCUGUUAAAACCGCAUAAGACCACAGAGCCGCAUGGCUCAGGGGUAAAAACUCCGGUGGUAUGAGAUGGACCCGCGUUCGAUUAGCCAGUUGGCGGGGUAACGGCCCACCAAAGCGACGAUCGAUAGCCGAUCUGAGAGGAUGGCCGGCCACAUUGGGACUGAGACACGGCCCAA
rnacentral:rRNA from 1 species